AGCGAACGCUGGCGGCAGGCCUAACACAUGCAAGUCGAACGAACUCUUCGGAGUUAGUGGCGGACGGGUGAGUAACACGUGGGAACGUGCCUUUAGGUUCGGAAUAACUCAGGGAAACUUGAGCUAAUACCGGAUGUGCCCUUCGGGGGAAAGAUUUAUCGCCUUUAGAGCGGCCCGCGUCUGAUUAGCUAGUUGGUGAGGUAAAGGCUCACCAAGGCGACGAUCAGUAGCUGGUCUGAGAGGAUGAUCAGCCACAUUGGGACUGAGACACGGCCCAAACUCCUACGGGAGGCAGCAGUGGGGAAUCUUGCGCAAUGGGCGAAAGCCUGACGCAGCCAUGCCGCGUGAAUGAUAAAGGUCUUAGGAUUGUAAAAUUCUUUCACCGGGGACGAUAAUGACGGUACCCGGAGAAGAAGCCCCGGCUAACUUCGUG
rnacentral:rRNA from 1 species